CAGAAGAUACGUGGCCGCUGCCGGUUGUACGAUACUCCGUGCAACCGGGAGAGGAAAGUCCGGGCUCCUUCGGAAAAAAUGCCGGUUAACGACCGGGCGGAAUUGCGGCUUUCGGGUCGCGGUUCUGACAGACAGCGCAACAGAAAAUAAACCGCCCCGGCGACGGGGUAAGGGUGAAAAGGCGGGGUAAGAGCCCACCGGGCAGACGGUAACGGAUGCCGCAGGGCAAGCCUCAUUUGGAGCAAGGUCAAGCAGUAACUGUAAUUCCGAUACGGAAAGGGUUCCUUUCCGCAGUUACGGGUAGACCGCUUGAAGUGCAGGGUAAUCUGCACUCUGGAUAGAUGGCCAUGCCGCGAUGAACCGUAUUCGGUUCAUCGCGGGGAACAGAACCCGGCUUACGGUAUCUUCUGCUUU
rnacentral:RNase_P_RNA from 2 species